GUUUAGAAGUGUGUGAAGUUCUGCUGCUUGCUGCAUCUUUGGUAUCAACAAUGGAAUUUAGUAUUUAGCUUUUACUCAUUUUAUUUGUUUACUUCUGUGUUCUGUUUAGCAAUGAAGGUGAAUAGAAUAUUUUAACUGCAACCAAUGAACAAACACGUACUUAUUUACAAGGUGGUUCUUGCUCCUUGACCAAAUAAUGCAUCAGGAAGAGGAGAUUGUCCAAAAGAAGGUCAUGGGAAAUCAGAUAAACUAGCUGUCCGGUCUUACGUCUUGUCAGCUUAUAGUGCUGAUUUUGCCUCUUUCUCUCUUUUUUCUGGAAAUGGUUCCUAUGGCCUUUGAGAGAAACAGUACAUCUUGGAGUAAUAAUCUUCAUGGAUGUAUGACAUAAGGAUAUUACCAGUAGUGGCCAAGAGUUCCAUGUCUUGAUCAGAAAAAAAACACAGAUCCUACUUGCUGUUAUGGUGAUGAUGAUGAUGAUGAUGAUGAUGAUGAUGAUGAUGAUGAUGAUGAUGAUUAGAGUACCACAUCUCAAAGAUGAAGAAAAAGAACAACUCAUUAAGAGAUUUAUUUCAUGUGAAUGA
rnacentral:lncRNA from 1 species